AACGAGCGCUGGCGGCAUGCCUAACACAUGCAAGUCGAACGAGACCUUCGGGUCUAGUGGCGCACGGGUGCGUAACGCGUGGGAACCUGCCCUUAGGUUCGGAAUAACUCCCCGAAAGGGGUGCUAAUACCGGAUAAUGUCUUCGGACCAAAGAUUUAUCGCCUUUGGAUGGGCCCGCGUUGGAUUAGCUAGUUGGUAGGGUAAAAGCCUACCAAGGCGACGAUCCAUAGCUGGUCUGAGAGGAUGAUCAGCCACACUUGGACUGAGACACGGCCCAGACUCCUACGGGAGGCAGCAGUGGGGAAUAUUGGACAAUGGGCGAAAGCCUGAUCCAGCAAUGCCGCGUGAGUGAUGAAGGCCUUAGGGUUGUAAAGCUCUUUUACCCGGGAUGAUAAUGACAGUACCGGGAGAAUAUGCUCCGGCUAACUCCGUG
rnacentral:rRNA from 1 species